rnacentral:lncRNA from 9 species
CCGUUUCUUGGGCCGCUCCCGUGACAUAUGGAGGUUCCCAGGCUAGGGGUCAAAUCGGAGCUGUAGCCACCGGCCUACACCAGAGCCAUAGCAACAGGGGAUCUGAGCCGCGUCUGCAACCCACACCACAGCUCACGGCAACGCCGGAUCGUUAACCCACUGAGCAAGGGCAGGGACCGAACCCGCAACCUCAUGGUUCCUAGUCGGAUUCGUUAACCACUGCGCCACGACGGGAACUCCUGAAAGUGAGAUUCCUUUUACUUAUUGCUUUUCUAACCAUAUACCUUUUUUUUUUUUUUGUCCUGUUUUGUAGGGCUUUCAGAUUCAGACAACUUUUAUUCCACAGCACUGUAAAAUAUCUUGUAACUGAAUAGAUGGCAUAAAAACAGCUAUGUGUCAGAGGUGCCAUAAAACCACGGACAAGACAGAGGAGAUCUAUGUAUGUAUAUAUAUAUACAUAUAUAUAUGGAGAGAGCAAGAGAGAGAGAGAGAUCCAUCUUAUAUACGGAGAGAGAUAAAGUCCUACGUUGGAUUAGCUGUCUGCAGAAUGUGAGCCAUUACCUCAGUUUCCCUCUAUCUCCUCUAGUCCUGAGGUCCCAGGUGGUAAACAAUACCAACUUUUCUUUCUCAUGAUGGUUUCCAGAAGUGAACAAAGGACAUCCAGAACACACUGUCUUCUUUGGAAACAUGAUUCCAGAGUUACUAGAAGAUGAAAAGUAAGUCAAAGUGCUCAUUUGAUGUUGUGUAAAAAACAAUUGUCUUAAUUACAGCCCUUAACAACUGACUAUGGCCUCACUCAGAAGCUGAAUCUGCACUCAAUCAGUAGUAUGAAGAACAGAAUAUUUCCUCAACCAUUGAAUGUGUUUAUAUUUAUAAUCAACAGCCAGUUUGAUUAGUUAUUUAAACAUGAAUUUACUAGCCACUCUUGUAAACCAGUAAUUUAGUCAUGUAAUUAGUCAAACUAAUUCGCUCAAACAGAUUUGACUAAACAAAGCAAUUUAUAGAUAUGUGACAUGAAUGUAGUAAGAUGAGUAACCUUAGAAAGGAAAACAAUAGAUGCCUUAUCUAGCUUGGAAUGAACUGUCUUUAUCAAAUCAUUGUUCUAUUGUUUCACUACUGAAAAUAUAUGUAGUUGUAAUAGAAAAAAAUAUUUAC